UACGGAGGGUGCGAACGUUGCUCGGAAUUACUGGGCGUAAAGCGCAUGUAGGCGGAUCCAUAAGUCGGGCGUGAAAUCCCCAGGCUCAACCUGGGAACUGCGUUCGAAACUGUAGGUCUAGAGUGUCGGAGAGGAUGGCGGAAUUCCUGGUGUAGAGGUGAAAUUCGUAGAUAUCAGGAGGAACACCGGUGGCGAAGGCGGCCAUCUGGACGACAACUGACGCUGAGAUGCGAAAGCGUGGGGAGCAAACAGG
rnacentral:rRNA from 1 species